rnacentral:lncRNA from 1 species
GCCAUUACCAGAAGCAUAGAGUCAGUUUCAAGCCAUAUGUUCAACCAAUUGUUUUGGUUUGCUAUUUCAAUUGCAAGCAUGGCACCAUAGAUUUCUGCAAUGAAAGCAGAUUCUGUAUCAAGCUUUUGAGCAAAACAGCCCACAGUAAAACCAAAAGAGUUCCUAAAGAUGCCACCACAAGCUGCUUUAAUAGGAUUCUUC